rnacentral:rRNA from 1 species
AUUGAACGCUGGCGGCAGGCCUAACACAUGCAAGUCGAACGAGUGGCGGACGGGUGAGUAAUGUCUGGGAAACUGCCCGAUGGAGGGGGAUAACUACUGGAAACGGUAGCUAAUACCGCAUACCAUCGGAUGUGCCCAGAUGGGAUUAGCUAGUAGGUGGGGUAACGGCUCACCUAGGCGACGAUCCCUGGCUGGUCUGAGAGGAUGACCAGCCACGUUGGAACUAGAACACGGUCCAAACUCCUACGGGAGGAAGCAGUGGGAAAUAUUGCACAUUGGGCGCAAGCCUGAUGCGGCAAUGCCGCGUGUAUGAAGAGGGCCUUCGGGUUGUAAAGUACUUUCAGCGAGGAGGCGGUACUCGCAGAAGAAGCACCGGCUAACUCCGUGCCAGCAGCCGCGGUAAUAG